AGAGUUUGAUCCUGGCUCAGAAUAAACGCUGGCGGCGUGCCUAACACAUGCAAGUCGAACGAGAAAGCCCGGCUUCGGCUGGGCAAGUAAAGUGGCGCACGGGUGAGUAACGCGUAGGCAACCUGCCCCUGUGUUCGGGAUAACAGUGCGAAAGCGCUGCUAAUACCGGAUGUGGCCGGAGAGCGGAGGCUUUCCGGUCAAAGUCGGCCUCUCGACGAANCCGAUGCACGGGGAUGGGCCUGCGUCCUAUCARCUGGUUGGUAGGGUAACGGCCUACCAAGGCGACGACGGGUAGCUGGUCUGAGAGGAUGAUCAGCCACACUGGCACUGAAACACGGGCCAGACUCCUACGGGAGGCAGCARUGAGGAAUUUUGCGCAAUGGCCGCAAGGCUGACGCAGCAACGCCCCGUGGGUGAAGAAGGCCUUCGGGUCGUAAAGCCCUGUCAGGUGGGAAGAAUGUGCGGGGGGUGAAUGACCCUUCGCAGUGACGGUACCACCAUAGGAAGCACCGGCUAACUUCCGUGCCAGCAGCCGCGGUAAUACGGAGGGUGCAAGCGUUAUUGGGAAUUACUGGGCGUAAAGCGCGUGCAGGCGGGUAGNCAAGUUUGAUGUGAAAGCCCCGGGCUCAACCUGGGAAGUGCAUUGGAAACUGUCUAUCUUGAGUUCUGGAGAGGAAGGGGGAAUUCCCGGUGUAGAGGUGAAAUUCGUAGAGAUCGGGAGGAAUACCAGUGGCGAAGGCGCCCUUCUGGACGGCAACUGACGCUGAGACGCGAGAGCGUGGGGAGCAAACAGGAUUAGAUACCCUGGUAGUCCACGCUGUAAACGAUGAGCACUAGGUGUAGCGGGUACUCAUUCUUGCUGUGCCGCAGCUAACGCGUUAAGUGCUCCGCCUGGGGAUUACGGUCGCAAGACUAAAACUUAAAGGAAUUGACGG
rnacentral:rRNA from 1 species